UAUAAUUGUGUGCCAGCAGCCGCGGUACUACGUAGGGAGCGAGCGUUGUCCGGAAUUACUGGGUGUAAAGGGAGCGUAGGCGGGAUGGCAAGUCAGAUGUGAAAACUAUGGGCUCAACCCAUAGACUGCAUUUGAAACUGUUGUUCUUGAGUGAGGUAGAGGUAAGCGGAAUUCCUGGUGUAGCGGUGAAAUGCGUAGAGAUCAGGAGGAACAUCGGUGGCGAAGGCGGCUUACUGGGCCUUUACUGACGCUGAGGCUCGAAAGCGUGGGGAGCAAACAGG
rnacentral:rRNA from 1 species